rnacentral:rRNA from 1 species
AUACGUAGGUGGCGAGCGUUGUCCGGAAUUAUUGGGGCGUAAAGCGCGCGCAGGCGGGAAAGUAAGUCUACUCUAAAAGUGCGGGGCUCAACCCCGUGAUGGGGUGGAAACUGCUUUUCUUGAGUGCCGGAGAGGAAAGCGGAAUUCCCAGUGUAGCGGUGAAAUGCGUAGAUAUUGGGAGGAACACCAGUGGCGAAGGCGGCUUUCUGGACGGUGUCUGACGCUGAGGCGCGAAAGCCAGGGGAGC